rnacentral:lncRNA from 1 species
UAGUAUACAGUUUUAUCUUUGGUUUAUGACAGGUUUAAGUCCUCACAUUUAACACACUUAUUAACUUACAUAGUAUACAGUUUUUCUUUGGUUUAUGACAGGUUUAAGUCCUCACAUGUAACACACUUAUUAACUUACAUAGUAUACAGUUUUUCUUUGGUUUAUGACAGGUUUAAGUCCUCACAUUUAACACACUUAUUAACUUAUAUAGUAUACAGUUUUAUCUUUGGUUUAUGACAGGUUUAAGUCCUCACAUGUAACACACUUAUUAACUUAUAUAGUAUACAGUUUUUUCUUUGGUUUAUGACAGGUUUAAGUCUUCACAUGUAACAUACUUAUUAACUUAUAUAGUAUACAGUUUUUUCUUUGGUUUAUGACAGGUUUAAGUCUUCACAUGUAACAUACUUAUUAACUUAUAUAGUAUACAGUUUUAUUUUUGGUUUAUGACAGGUUUAAGUCUUCACAUGUAACACACUUAUUAACUUAUAUAUAGUUUUUCAUUUCUUUAUAUUCUUAUAUUCCAAGUGAAACUAUUACAACUUUUUUUGUUUUCGAAGAACAACACGUCGUAAAAAGGAAAACAUUAACGGGUUCAAUAAGCACAGAAAUAAAUCUUAACAGCUGUAGUUGUUUAUUUGUCAGUAAUACUUUGUGAAACAGAACUGUUUUUCAUAUGUUCUUAUGAUGCUUCCUUUCGUAUUCACGUAGGAAUUAACAUUUCAUUUAUAAAGUUAAUUGUUUGAAAUAUAAAUUGUGUUUUGUUUUUAAGUUAGUCGUUAAAAUGUUAAUCUUUCAUUUGUUAACCAACUAUUAUUUCACUAAACUUUAGAAAUCUGUACAAAUUACUUUAGUUUCUCAGUUAUCUAUUAGAACACCAAGACUUCACUGUAAAUUCUAACAUAAUUAUUCUAUUUCUGUUUUUGUCUGAGAACCGAUCAGGGUUUUUGUUUUACAACAAUAGUGUAUUGAACACAGUUAGUUUCCUUCCCUCGUUAAUGGAAAGGUUUGAAGCUUAAUAGGUUUGAGUUCCUAUUAGUUAGGCACUGAAGCCUAAAUCUAAAUGAAAUCAAAAUAAAUUGUUAGUUCUAUAAGUUAUUUGCGACUAUUAAAUGUAGUAAUUUCCACGUGCCAGGUACAGUCUUUACAUUGUUAUAAGUAAUACAGACAACUUUAUUUUCAUACCAAAGUUUUACGUUUCGACUUAUAAUGGAUUAUUUGGCAAGAAAUGUUCGUUUUAAGGAAUAGGUGUGAGAAAGGAACUACCAAACUACUAGGUCUCCCCCUGGUGACGAUGUUGGCUAAAGAAAAUAGAUUCGGUAGUGGUUUAGUACUUGUCCAAAGGUGGGAGUGUCUCCUUGAGUAAUACUUGUUUCAAAUCAUCGAAUUCAAAUUAACAUAGUUAGUAUUUUCAUAGUUCUAUAAAUCUUUGUAGUGAAUAGACGUAGCUAGUUAUCUAAUAUCAUUUAAGGACUUCAUGAUGUACAUACAUUAGAUCGUAAAAGUGCUUUUACUUGAAUAUUUCUCAUCUUCUUCCUCUUUGACUGUAUAUUAUUAAGUACAUUUCACGCUCCCUUGCCAGGGAUGAAUAUAUAUGUGUGUUUGAUUUUUAUUGGCUGAUAUUCUGUGAAAGCAAAUAAUUAAACGAAACAGGAAACAAUUAGCACACUAACGCAUUUAAUUUUCUCUCCUAUAAUACAUGCUUAGGGAGGAAACAUAGGUUACCCACGACCUCUAUCUUAACUAGCUUUAUUUCACUGCUUCUUACUCGCAUUGUAUUCGCAAAGUGAACCUAGAAUUAAACUUCUCAGCCAAUAGCAUGUCCAACAUUAUUUGAAAAAUUUAAAAACCGAAAUUGGAAAUAAUUUUACUGAAUGUAAUAUGUCAAUAAACGUUCUUGAUAAAGAGAUACAGGUUCACUUUUAGGACCAUUGACAAAACUUUUUUAUAGCAACUGCUAAAAUGCUUUCAGGCGACAAAUUAUUUUGACGAAAAUAGUAAAGUAUACUACAUUAAUACAACGUCUUGAGAUGAGGUGGAUGUUUCUAUGUCAUUGUCUGGAGAUGAGUUACAUGUUUCUAUAUAUAUGUCUAGAGAUGAACGACAUGUUUCUACAUCUUUGUCUGGAGAGGAGGUGGAUGUUACUAUGUCAUUGUCUGGAGAUGAGUUAUAUGUUUCUAUAUAUAUGUCUAGAGAUGAGCUACAUGUUUCUACAUCUUUGUCUGGAGAGGAGUUACAUGUUUCUAUAUCUUUGUCUAGAGAUGAGCUACAUGUUUCUAUAUCUUUGUUUGAG